rnacentral:rRNA from 1 species
UACGAAGGGGGCUAGCGUUGUUCGGAAUUACUGGGCGUAAAGCGCGUGUAGGCGGGUCUUUAAGUCAGGGGUGAAAUGCCAGGGCUCAACCUUGGAACUGCCUUUGAUACUGGAGACUUGAGUCCGGGAGAGGUGAGUGGAAUUGCGAGUGUAGAGGUGAAAUUCGUAGAUAUUCGCAAGAACACCAGUGGCGAAGGCGGCUCACUGGCCCGGAACUGACGCUGAGACGCGAAAGCGUGGGGAGCAACAGGG